CACAGCAACCGAGGCAGCAGCAAGUGAACAUCAAGCUGCUCUUCACUGCAGUGGAAUACGAAGGGCAUUCUCUAGCGAUGCAACUGACAGGAGCAGCCAGCUACAGCAGCUGCAUGAAGUGCAGUAUUGAUGGGAAUUACUUUCCUGGUCUCAGGAAAGUAAUUCUUGCUGAUAAUAGGAGGUUCCUACCAGCUGAGAGCACCCUCAGACAUGCCAACAGAGGCGUUUUUCUGGCUGAGAAUAUUUCGACAGCAAAUGCAGAACUACUGCCACAGCCAGAAAAUAAAACAGAUGCUGGCAAAAGAAUUGCAGCUGCAGAAUAUAUUGCAGCAUAACACAUUGGCAACCGAAACGAAAUGAGGAGGAUAAGCGAGAAAGCGGAACAAAAGGAGUAACGCACCUCCAUCGCGUUCCAGGCUUCAACCUAGUUUGCAGUCCGGUCAUUGAUGCGGUGCACACGAUUAUCAACAUUCUUGGCCGCAUCAUGAACCUGCUACUGAAGCGCCAACCUGAUGAUAGCAGGAGAGUGCGCUUACAGGUGCCCACACGAAAGGAGUUAUGGUCUACUGCCUGCGGGGAUGCCUGGGAAUUGUGCAGCGGAUCACAAUAUUCAUGUACUGCCAGUGCAUCCAGCAGCUUUACUCGCCUGCAACAGAAGAAGAAAGGUUAGCGACGCAGAUGCCUCAAUGAAUUCAUCGAUGAAUUACAUGCAGUUCAUGGAGCGAGCAGCGGGUGCGCCACUAACCACCAUCAUGACUCUGCAUGGACAUUCUCGGGUUAUACAAGCUGAUGACAGCUUACAUGGAAAACUCGACGAGUUUGUCCAAAAUUACGUAGAGGGUGCGGGUGCACUCGUUGAGGCCUACGAGGCCCAACGAUUUCCCGCGACAAUCCGGGGCGAGUGGGAGCCACCUUGCCACCUGCGGAUACCGCACUACGAGGACAUUCUCUGUGGUCCUCCGCGAGAGGUGACAGAGUUUGCGAGGGCAGUGAUCCCACAUCCAGAUUAACAGCGCCUCUACAAGUUCUGCAGCUACUCUCUGGAUGGGCACCACUGCGGAUCGUACGUCCAAAUGGAAUUUUCCGAAGCGGAACAUGGUCCAGCUGCUCCGAACAUGAUAAAUGUAGGCGGCGAGAUCAAAUAUACCUAAAUAGGUGUCCAUGUCACAUCUUCGGUAGCUGGUGAAGUACCAGGAUGAGUAGGUAUUGAAACUGGCACCGAAGCUCACGAACGCCCAUGUCAACCCAGGCAAUUUUGAAAAGAUGAAGGUGUCGCUGGCUGCACAGCUGUUUUAUACAGCACAGCUUUGGGACUGAGUGUGUUAGUGGAGUUUGGCAUCCUACCUAACGAAGCCAAGACAACAGCAUGGUUCUGCCGCUUUGUCGACAAGCUUUUUGACAUACUCAAUGGCCGACACUACCACGCAGGACUUUU
rnacentral:lncRNA from 1 species